AAACGACUCUCGGCAACGGAUAUCUCGGCUCUUGCAUCGAUGAAGAACGUAGCGAAAUGCGAUACUUGGUGUGAAUUGCAGAAUCCCGUGAACCAUCGAGUCUUUGAACGCAAGUUGCGCCAGAAGCCAUUAGGCCGAAGGCACGCCUGCCUGGGUGUCACA
rnacentral:rRNA from 1 species